rnacentral:rRNA from 1 species
UACAGAGGUCCCAAGCGUUGUUCGGAUUCACUGGGCGUAAAGGGUGCGCAGGUGGGUUUGCAAGUUCGAUGUGAAAGCCCCGGGCUUAACCCGGGAAUGGCAUUGGAUACUGCAGAUCUGGAGGAUCGGAGGGGGGACUGGAAUUCUCGGUGUAGCAGUGAAAUGCGUAGAUAUCGAGAGGAACACCAGUGGCGAAGGCGAGUCCCUGGACGACUCCUGACACUGAGGCACGAAAGCUAGGGGAGCAAACAGG